UGUACAUGUGAAACUGCAGAAAAUCUGUUUAAAAAGACACUAUGAAUUUCUUGCUCUUUUUCUUUUCUCUGAUAGCCAUGCCAAACUGGUCUUUCUGUGAUGUCCAGCUCGUGUCAUCAGGGCCUGAAACUGUAAGACCAGGACAAAAUCUCAAUUUGCUCUGCAAAGUUACAGGUGUCUCCAUCACCAGUAGUAGCUAUGCUUGGAACUGGGUCCGUCAGCCUCCAGGGAAAGGGUUAGAAUGGAUUGCCAGAAUCUACCCGCAUGAUGGGAGAAAAUGGUUUUCAUCUUCCCUUCAAAGCCGCACCUCUAUUGCUUCAGACAACUCCAAGAAUGAGUAUUCCCUUCAGUUGAACUCCUUGUCAGCUGCUGACACUGCCGUGUAUUACUGUGCCCGAGAUGCACAGUAG